ensembl:lncRNA
UGGGGUCUUGCCAAUGCGCAUGCGCGAGGCAGGAGCGGGUCCUCGGGUUGUUGCCCAGGUGAUCCGUUCCUGAGACGUCACAAAAAAGGAGCCACCUGUGGCCGUGUCAGGAACCCGGCUCAGGCAACCCCUCGCUGGAUAUUUGCUGAAGGUUAGCCAGGAGGAAGAAAGUUCGGGUGGAGGGAGCGUCGGGGAAAUAGCUUGGAAUCCCAGUCUCAGGCCUGCGCCAAGAGGGUACAGAGAACACUCCCCUGUCCAGCCGGGAGAAACUUCGUGGGAAUGCGUUUCAUGCCCGUUUACUCUUCUAAACCUGUUUCUGGAUGAUUGGGCAGGUGCGAUCAACGAUGGGCUCCGAGGCGGAGUCCAGGGAGCCAUUGGGCGCCCUGAAUCUCCUCUUCCGCAAGGAACCGAAGCGGAAGACCGCUGGCUCAUGGAGGCCCUGAGGACACGAGUAAUAUGGGUUUGACCCUGGCUUGGUCUCGUGCAGGCCACUUUCCCAGGACUCCUAAAACCCGCCGCUUCCGCGGCCUUCUCCGCUGCCACCUCCGCCGCGGUCAUUUCUUAAAGGGGCGGACGCCUGACUUCCGGGAGCCAGGCACGAGUGGCGUCGUCCUCGCUAGUGCGCAUGCGCGAGGCGCGCAGUGCUCCUUGGGUCAUGCUGACGUUUCCGGUUGCUCCGUGAUGGGUUCCUGGGACGUCACAAAGGACGACGCCCCUGAGGCAGUGUGUCAGGAACAGGGCUCAGGCCCUUCCCCGCCAGGACGUCCGCACAAAAGGUGGGCCAGGAGGAAGAAACCUCAGGUGAAGGGAGUGCCGGGGAAGCAGCGGGAUCCCAGCCUCAGGCCUGCGCCGAAGGGUUCCAGGCUUAGAGGCUUCCCGGUCUGGCUCAGUGUCUUCAGCAGAGAACACUCCCCAGUCCAGCAGGGGAAAACUUCGUGGGGACGUGUUUCUCGUCCGUUUCUCCGUCUAAAGCAGUUGCUGGAUGAUUGAGCAGGUGCAACGAUCGUAGAGCUCUGGACUUCCAUCCCAGUUUGGGACAGGGACGCUCUCUCGGUCUCCAAGUCCCACUGGAUCGCUGCCUGACUGGCCUUUGCCCUCUCCCCAGGGCUGUGUUGCAAUUCACCUGCCUUCCCUCUCUCAUUCUUAAAAUCAGUUUUGGUUCUGAGGAAUGCGACACUGGUUGGAUGAUAACCCUUUACUAAGACAGCAACGAUAAAGAAAAGAGAAAGUUUAGAAGGCAAAAGAACUUAGUGUUAUAUGUAUAUACUUACAUACAUAUGUAUUCUAAAAGCCUAUGGGUUAUUUAUGCAGUGAAAUCUAAUGGGCAAUUAUUAGCCAUGAUUAUUUAUUUUAAAAAGCGUUGAUUUUUUUUCUGAUUUUUAAAGUAGUGUGUGCUCUUUGUAGGUACUUUUGUGGGAAAGUAGGAGAAGGAGAAAAUAAAACUCAUCUAUAAAUUCUCUAUCUUGACAUAUCUCCCGGGACUAAUAUUUGGAAGUAAUUUAUUUUCCAUUGACUUUUUUUCUUCACAAAAUUGGGAAAUAAUUUUGUCUAGUUUUGUAAUGAAAAUUUCUCAUGUAAUAUCUUUCCAAAUGCGAUAUUUUAAAAGAAAAAAAUUACGUGCAGUCCAAAUCACUCAAUUUUGGUAUGUGGUUCUAUGAGCUUUGACAACUGCAGAGUUGUACAGUCGAGACAGAGCGCUUCCCUCAUCACUGCCCUCAAAUUUUCAUGUAUUUUGUUUUUGUUUAUCUACUCUUCAGCCCUCAAAACGUCAAAACUGGCAACCACUAAUCUAUUACUAACCAGUAAUCAUCACUAUAUUUUUUCCUUUUCCAUAAAAUCAUAAAGUGAUCUGAUAUUCACUUGUGUUGUUGCCUUUCAUUGCCAAGUUUCUUUUUACUGCUGAUUAGCAUUUUACUGUGUGAUGGUACCAGGGUUUGUUCAUUCAUUUGACAACUGAAGGGCAGUUGAGUGUCUUCCAGUUUUUGGUGAUUAUGAAUAAAGCUGUUAAAACCUCCACACAGGUUUUUGUGUGAACAUAAGCUUUAAUUUCUCUCGAGUAAAUAUCUAGGAAUGAGAUUGUUGUAUCAUAAAUGUGCAUCUACAUUUACAUUUAAAACAAACUGGCAAGCUGUUUUCCAAAGUAGCCAUAGCAGUUUAUAUUCUCACGAGCAAAGUGUUAGAGCUCUGGUGGUUCUGCAUACUCAUCAGCAUGUUGAUAUUGUCAGUAAUUUUAAACCAUUUAGAACCAUUUCAAUAGGUGUAAUGGUAUCUCAUUGUGAUUUUAAUAAACAUUUGCUUGAUGGCUGCUGUUUAAUUUUUUCACAUGUUUAUUCAAAUCCAUACUUCUUUUGUGAAGUUUCUUUUCAAACAUCUUUCUCAUUUAAAAAAAUAGAUAAUUUGUUUUUUAUUAUCAAUUUUUCAGAAUUCUUUAAUAUGGAUUAAGUAUACACUUAUACAAGUAUGUGAUUGGCUAAUAUUUUCUCUAGGUAUGUGGCUUGCUUUUACUUAACAG